rnacentral:rRNA from 1 species
AGUGAACGCUGGCGGUAGGCCUAACACAUGCAAGUCGAACGGCAGCACAGUAAGAGCUUGCUCUUACGGGUGGCGAGUGGCGGACGGGUGAGGAAUACAUCGGAAUCUACUUUUUCGUGGGGGAUAACGUAGGGAAACUUACGCUAAUACCGCAUACGACCUACGGGUGAAAGCAGGGGAUCUUCGGACCUUGCGCGAUUGAAUGAGCCGAUGUCGGAUUAGCUAGUUGGCGGGGUACAGGCCCACCAAGGCGACGAUCCGUAGCUGGUCUGAGAGGAUGAUCAGCCACACUGGAACUGGGACACGGUCCAGACUCCUACGGGAGGCAGCAGUGGGGAAUAUUGGACAAUGGGCGCAAGCCUGAUCCAGCCAUACCGCGUGGGUGAAGAAGGCCUUCGGGUUGUAAAGCCCUUUUGUUGGGAAAGAAAAGCAGCAGGUUAAUACCCCGCUGUUCUGACGGUACCCAAAGAAUAAGCACCGGCUAACUUCGUG